rnacentral:rRNA from 1 species
CAGUCGCCACGGGAAUACGAAGGGUGCAAGCGUUAAUCGGAAUUACUGGGCGUAAAGCGUGCGUAGGUGGUGGUUUAAGUCCGUUGUGAAAGCCCUGGGCUCAACCUGGGAAUUGCAGUGGAUACUGGGUCACUAGAGUGUGGUAGAGGAUAGUGGAAUUUCCGGUGUAGCAGUGAAAUGCGUAGAGAUCGGAAGGAACAUCUGUGGCGAAGGCGACUAUCUGGGCCAACACUGACACUGAGGCACGAAAGCGUGGGGAGCAAACAGGAUUAGAUACCCCAGUAGUCCCUGUCUCUUAUAC